rnacentral:rRNA from 1 species
GACGAACGCUGGCGGCGUGCUUAACACAUGCAAGUCGAACGGAAAGGCCCUGCUUUUGUGGGGUGCUCGAGUGGCGAACGGGUGAGUAACACGUGAGUAACCUGCCCUUGACUUUGGGAUAACUUCAGGAAACUGGGGCUAAUACCGGAUAGGAGCUCCUGCUGCAUGGUGGGGGUUGGAAAGUUUCGGCGGUUGGGGAUGGACUCGCGGCUUAUCAGCUUGUUGGCGGGGUAGUGGCUUACCAAGGCUUUGACGGGUAGCCGGCCUGAGAGGGUGACCGGCCACAUUGGGACUGAGAUACGGACCAGACUCCUACGGGAGGCAGCAGUGGGGAAUAUUGCACAAUGGGCGGAAGCCUGAUGCAGCAACGCCGCGUGCGGGAUGACGGCCUUCGGGUUGUAAACCGCUUUCGCCUGUGACGAAGCGUGAGUGACGGUAAUGGGUAAAGAAGCACCGGCUAACUACGUG